rnacentral:rRNA from 1 species
UGCAGUCGAGCGGAUGAGUGGAGCUUGCUCCAUGAUUCAGCGGCGGACGGGUGAGUAAUGCCUAGGAAUCUGCCUGGUAGUGGGGGACAACGUUUCGAAAGGAACGCUAAUACCGCAUACGUCCUACGGGAGAAAGUGGGGGAUCUUCGGACCUCACGCUAUCAGAUGAGCCUAGGUCGGAUUAGCUAGUUGGUGAGGUAAAGGCUCACCAAGGCGACGAUCCGUAACUGGUCUGAGAGGAUGAUCAGUCACACUGGAACUGAGACACGGUCCAGACUCCUACGGGAGGCAGCAGUGGGGAAUAUUGGACAAUGGGCGAAAGCCUGAUCCAGCCAUGCCGCGUGUGUGAAGAAGGUCUUCGGAUUGUAAAGCACUUUAAGUUGGGAGGAAGGGCAGUAAGUUAAUACCUUGCUGUUUUGACGUUACCGACAGAAUAAGCACCGGCUAACUUCGUGCCAGCAGCCGCGGUAAUACGAAGGGUGCAAGCGUUAAUCGGAAUUACUGGGCGUAAAGCGCGCGUAGGUGGUUCGUUAAGUUGGAUGUGAAAGCCCCGGGCUCAACCUGGGAACUGCAUCCAAAACUGGCGAGCUAGAGUAUGGCAGAGGGUGGUGGAAUUUCCUGUGUAGCGGUGAAAUGCGUAGAUAUAGGAAGGAACACCAGUGGCGAAGGCGACCACCUGGGCUAAUACUGACACUGAGGUGCGAAAGCGUGGGGAGC